GUGAAAAGCCGCCAUUGCAGUUCGGAAUUGUGCGCGUGCGUACAAGUGUAUAGGCUAAUAAACGAAAAAUGUACCACAAGCAUGGCAUGAGUCGGCUAGUACGUACAUAAAUACGUAACUUGUUGCUAUUGUAUUUGAAUCAUGGAACGGAGGGAAUCGAUGGCAUUUUGGCUUAAUCGUUGCACCUUGAGCCUGCGAUGCGCUAACGCAAACUCGAUUUCUCGACUACGAAAAAAACAGAAAAAGAGGGAUUUAAGACACUUGGCCUACAGGCCAGUGUAAUAAACUAGACAUAAAAGAAAAUAUGUUAAUGCUACCUAAGCAAGCACAUUUUAUUCUUUUUACAA